ACGCUCGACACCUACGGAGGCAGCAGUGAGGAAUAUUGGUCAAUGGACGCAAGUCUGAACCAGCCAUGCCGCGUGCAGGAUGACGGCUCUAUGAGUUGUAAACUGCUUUUGUACGAGGGUAAACGCAGAUACGUGUAUCUGUCUGAAAGUAUCGUACGAAUAAGGAUCGGCUAACUCCGUGUCAGCAGCCGCGGUAAUCUGAGCGGGCUGGCAAGGC
rnacentral:rRNA from 1 species